rnacentral:miRNA from 1 species
GUCUCGUUCCCAGAGUAUGCCUGUUCGCGGGUUAGGUAGUACCUAACCCGCGAACAGGCAUACUCUGGGAACGAGAUUGGUCU